GCCGCAGUCGUCUAGGGGUCAGGACACCAGUUUGUGGAUCGGCGAAACACUGGAAACCGAGGUUCGAGUCCUCGCUGCGGCA
rnacentral:tRNA from 1 species